rnacentral:rRNA from 1 species
UACCUAGGCAGCAAGCGUUGUUCGGAGUUACUGGGCGUAAAGGGUGCGUAGGCGGCUUCUUAAGUCUGGUGUGAAAUCUCCCGGCUCAACUGGGAGGGUGCGCCGGAUACUGAGGGGCUAGAGUGUGGGAGAGGAAAGUGGAAUUCCUGGUGUAGCGGUGAAAUGCGUAGAUAUCAGGAGGAACACCGGUGGUGUAAACGGCUUUCUGGACCAUAACUGACGCUGAGGCACGAAAGCGUGGGUAGCAAACAGG